rnacentral:rRNA from 1 species
UACAGAGGUCUCAAGCGUUGUUCGGAUUCAUUGGGCGUAAAGGGUGCGUAGGUGGUGAUGCAAGUCUGGUGUGAAAUCUCGGAGCUCAACUCCAAAAUUGCACCGGAUACUGCGUGACUCGAGGACUGUAGAGGAGAUCGGAAUUCACGGUGUAGCAGUGAAAUGCGUAGAUAUCGUGAGGAAGACCAGUUGCGAAGGCGGAUCUCUGGGCAGUUCCUGACACUGAGGCACGAAGGCCAGGGGAGCAAACGGG